UAAUAUCUAAACUACUGCAGUGCCUACCCACCAUGUCCCCAUUGUAUUCCAAGCUUCAUUCAAUUAUCUUGAAAUAAGGAGGAUAUGGUAAUUUUCCUGUCUCAGCUACAUACAAUCACACUUUUUGUCUCAUUCUAAUGGAAAAGCAAUAAGGAUGAAUGGCCGUCUAUAAACACA